CUUAUGUCCAUAUUCUACUUCCAUGUUAAAAAACAUGGAAGGAUUAACACCAUCAACCUUCAAUACUAGGGGACACCUGCCCACCAUGGCAUAUACCUCUGUUAUGAUCGUGUGAUACUGGUGGUUUCCAGCAAGAAGCAGCAAGAGAACCCUCAAAAAGUGCUCUUCAUUUCCAAGACACAGCUCAGUCUUCAGUCAGGAAGUAUGUCUUACCAUGCAAACCCUACUGAUGGUGGAGUGGAAGACAUUGAGUCAAAGAAAUGAAGUUUCAUCCCCAUACCACCUAGCUUCCUUCCCAUGGAGAAUGACAUUGUGAAUCCCAAAUAAAGUCUGCAGU